CUCAGAUGUUGCCUGGAAAACACGUAUGUUCUUUCUAGGAGGAAGAUGUGGUAUCUGCCCAGCAAAGAGAAGCAGCAUCUGACAAACUCCUGCAACAAUUGCAGUCUAGUAUAAAACAAUUAGAAACAAGAUUACAUGUUAGUGUCCAAGAUGGUGAACAAAUGAGAACAGAAAGAACAGCCCUGGAGAAACAAAUCAGAAUGCUUCACACAAAGUGUGCUAAUUUAGAAAGGGAAAAGUAUGAAGCAGUUGCAAGAGUCCAAGAUUGCGUACAGCUGUUAGAAGAAGCUAACCUGCAAAAGAGUCAGGCACUGUUUAAGAAGAAACAAAAGGAAGAGGAAAUAAAGAAGAUGAAAGAUGAAGUAUUUCAGAUCACAGAAGAUACUGCUGCAAGAACUAGGAAGGCAGUAAGUGAUGAUGUUUAGAAAAAAACAACUAUGAACUUAGAGUUAAAAGUUACAUCAUUAUAUAUGAUGUGUGCUCACAUCAGCAGUUUUCUUGUGAUUUGAUAAUGUAAGUAGGUAGGGCAGUACACUGACAGCAUUAUGCUCUUUGGCCUUACCAUCUAGAUAGGUACUCUGCCAACCCAAAUGAUAUUCACACACCUCUCAUGAACCAGAAGCACUGCUGUCUAUGCAGAUACUGCUGUAGAGAAGGUGAAGAUGUGGCACUUAAUUCAGAAAUUCUGUUCAGUAGCAUGUGGUCUCAUCUUGGAACUUAGUGAUGCUUUUUGUAUACAUUCAGGUGAUAAGAAUUGUUGAGUUAUAAGAUCAGAUUUUUGUCAUCUCAGUCCUUCAAAAUACACCUCUAUUUAGACAAAUAAGGCUCUUCCAUGAAGUACAGCUAAAUCAAAAAAACCUCAGUAUUGCAGCACGCUUAAAAAAAAAAUAAUAAUAAUCAGAAUUUGGUAGAGAAGCUACAAAAUUUUAUAGUUAUCUGUUUUUGUAACAUUCGUUAUUCUCACAAGUGGCUGAAAAUUAGGAGCUCCUUGAUAACAAACUACUGACAAAUGAAUUUGCUCUCUGUUGAUGUCCCAUCUGCAGUUAAAAUAAAGCUAAUCAUAUCUCCUUGGAGAUUCUUAACAAUUAUCCACAUGUCAAAUGGACUUGUAAGGCACACUGGAGAGGAAGUCUUCUUAUAUAAAUGUGAAGCCAGUGUCUUUUGUUGCAAGUCGAAAACACUGUAAAUCAGUUACCUGGCCUGUAAUUUUUCAGAGGUGUAAUUGAUUUUGCCUCCUUUAACUUUCUUCAUUGUGAUACAAGCCCGUUAUGAAAGGAUUCAUAAUCAAUAAAGAUUUUAAAUAUUAUAUACAUUUUUGAACCCUUUAAAAUGAGGCUGAUUUGUUCCUUCUCCUUAGUGAUUAUCCA